AAACCGACACAGGUGGGUGAGGAGAGUAUCCUAAGGCCAGCGAGAGAACUGUUGUUAAGGAACUCGGCAAAAUGACCCCGUAACUUAGGGAUAAGGGGUGCCGCCAUCAGGUGGCCGCAGAGAAUAGGCCCAAGCGACUGUUUACCAAAAACAUAGGUUUCUGCUAAGUCGCAAGACGAUGUAUAGGAGCUGACGCCUGCCCGGU
rnacentral:rRNA from 1 species